rnacentral:misc_RNA from 1 species
CAGAGUUGUAAAACUCCCAAACCCAUGUGAACAUACCUGUUGCCUCGGCGGCCUACCUGGUCGGCUACCCUGUAGCUACCCUGUAGUCCGCCGGCGGAUUUUCAAAAACUCUUGUUUUCAGUUGUAUCUCUGAGAAUAAAACAAAUAAGUCA